AUAAGAGGAAUAAAAAACGAGGAUAAAGAUAGGGAAUUGAUAGGUGGGACAAGGAUAAUCACUAGUAGAAAAAAUGUCAUUACAGCGCACUAUUUGCAGCAAACCUAUGAACAGAACGCUGCUAAUAAUGAUUGAUCAACGCGGGUCAACCUUUUAAUGAAUUAAUAGCAACGAUUUUUUGCUAAAGAACGCUACUUUUUUUAUAAAAUUAUUUGCAGCGCUCUCAAGUGAAGCACGUUGCAAAUAAGAAGUUUAUUGCAGCGUUCCCUACUUUAGAGCGCUACAAAUAAAUUUAUUUGCAGCAUUCCCUACUUCAGGGCGCUACAAAAAGUUGAAUAAAAAGAACAAAUUGAAAAUAACCUAUAUGCCGCCCCUUACAGAAAACCCUAACCUAAGAAAAACCUAGAGAAAAGAUUGAAGCUCUCGCCAAGGCUCACUUCACGGCGCACCACUCUUCGGCGACUUUCAAUUCAGAAAUGAGAGAUCUUCUUCCUCCUCCGGUCCGCCGCCGUCGCAGCAAUGUGUUAAAAUGAGCGCAGCACUCUCUGGCGACAAAAUCAGAAAGUGUAUUCAGGUCAGAAGCCGCUGGUUCACCUCUGCUUUCUCCUAAAGACAGGCUUGAGAAGUUUGUAAUCAAGGUGGUAUUGGUGGUGGUGGAGCAUUUUUAAUUAAGACUGGAACUAAGCUUUACAUCUCUAAUAUGGAUUACGGUGUUUCUAAUGACGAUAUUACCACUCGUUCGGUUUCUUUCCCUUGUGCUGAAAAAAAUAUGGAAAUUCACGAUUAAAGUCUCUAUAAUAGGGUUCUUGAUUUCCCCCUUUUUAAUUUGAUUAAUUCAGUAUUUUAACACAAUUCGGUUUUAUUUUGGUUUUUAGGAGUUAAGUUGUGUUUCCAAGGAGCAUUUGGACUUGGUAAUUGGUAUGCCUCUCCUCUUCUUAUGAUUUCAAUGGAGGGUAAUUUAGUUUCUCUUUCGCAAAAUUCCUCAAUUUCCCCCCUCUUUUACGCUAAUUUUUUAAUUAAUUUAUUGGUGUUGGGAUGAAUCAGAAAAUGUGCUGCAGUUGCUAGUGCAGAUUACUGUGUGAUUGUUGCUGAUACUCUAUGUCAACUGGCUGCAACAUUCUCAUUCGCGAUAACUCUUCUUUUUUUUUUUUCCUUUUCUGAAUUUGGGUUUUGAUUUGGUUGAUUGGAGAACAUGAAUUGGUUUUGUUGAUUGGUAUGGUGGAAAAUGUGAUAGAUUAGUAUAAUUAGUUGUUUGAUGAUUAAGGUUUAGUAUGAUGUGGACAAGUCUUGUACUGUGAAAUUGAAGAAAUUGAUUAGGGGUUGGCCAUCUUGCUUAAGGAAUGAAAAAAAAGACUUGAAAGUGUUAUAUUUGUUUCAUUUAUUGGAAUUACUCUAGACCCUUAUAAGUUAAAUGGUUUGUUUGUUUGUUUAUGAUGAAUUAUGUAUUUAAUAGAUGACUAUAGUUCUCAUUUUGAUUGUUCGUCGUCACGGUAAGCUUUCAGCUCAGUGAGUUGUUUAGAGAAUUAGUCAAGUUUCACUUGUUUGCUGCUAUUGGCGUUUUUAUGAGAUGGGAUGCGCAUUCAUGAACAAUGUAUUUGGUUAGUAAUCAUAAUAGAUGAGGGUCCUCUUCUAUUGAAACUAUGAAGUGUAUACUAUCUUUUGCAACUUGUCAUCAAACUGAGUAUUUCUGUUUAAUGGCAUGAAUCUACGAAGUAUAUACUGACACUCGAUUUUUUGCUAAAUUUGCUAAAUCUGUAGCUAAAUUACUGAAUCUGCAAACCCUGUACACUGAAUCCGUUGCUGAAUUUCUCAUCCUUGGCUCGGGUUCGAAGGUGUUUGGAACAGAUUUGUGGUGACUAUGAUGAUCAGAUUUGCCCAAUUUGUGGAGGUGUUGAAACGACAAUGCACAAAUUGCACUUGCUGCUGAUGUGGCCAUCUAUGAUCUCAAUGUGGAAUCACUCUUGAGGCUUGAUACGAGUUUAGGUGGGGGAAGGGACUUAAAUAGCUGGUGUUCAGAUAUGAAGGGAAGGAUCAAGGACAAAAAAUGGUUUAAUGGUUUUCAUUUUUAGUUAGAGUAUCCCUAUGAUUGGGGUUGUUUCAUUAUUUGUAAUGACCUUGAUUUUUUGCCGUUUGAUUAAAUCAUCAAAAUUAUUUCUA